CAAACUAAAAUAACAACCUGGAUACUUAUACUGCGUGCGUAUGUACACAGGGAACAAGUGGAGCACUCAUCUAAAGUCAAUGGAAUCAAUAUGCAUAGCGCAUAUGCGUCGUGUUGUUUAUCAGCGACAAGGAUGCCACAUACUGUAAACAAUUGCUUGUGAAGCUACAAACAACUCUAUACUGAAGGUCAACUUCGGUUGAGAGAGACACGAGAAGAACAGCAUUCCCGAACAUUCAAUCCAGGCCCACUGGACACAGAAGUUAUGUGUUUGCUUAUAGCCAGUUGCAUCAUCUUUCAACUUGGCUACGUUCAGACGUUUGCAAAACACCACUGACCAUCAUCGGCUCUUCCACAAGAACCAGCAACAUGCUGCAGAAACGGCAGUCAGGUGAUCCUGAGGCAGAUCUGGAGAUCAUCUCAUGGGGUUCGGCAGUCACGCAUACCUUUGCAUCUUCUGCAUGGGCUAGUCAGCCGGCUCACCUUUGGUUCUCACCGAAUUAAUCAUGCUGCCCUUGGUCACCUAAUUGGAUGACAGUCAUCCUAAAGCCCUAGACGCCAAAGGUCUACAUAUGCGUGGGGGGAGGUGGAGAUUCCAAUGUAUCUUCAUAUAUUCUGUGUACCUUUCACCCCAUCUGAGUCAGAGUGUCUACCACCCCCCCAAUUCUCACCCCUCAUUUUUUAUCCAUCUCUCGUAUUUGAAGUGGAAGGCCAUGCGGGUUGAGGAGUGGCUUCGGGUCAUUAGGGCUUCCUUUUUCUCGCAGGUGAUUUUAAGCACGUGCAGGGACGGAUGGGGACUGUAAUAUACGGCAUGCUGUAGUGAAGCAGUCAAAAAGGUUAUGGUUCACAUUGCUUCCCGUGUAUGAGAGACUGAGGACCUGUCUUCCACGCAGGCGCCGCCUCCCCAACAGCCAUUUGCAUCCCUAUAGAGGUCACACUCUUGUCUGUGGAGGACGAAUUGAAGACAAGCAGACAGAUCACUUUCACUAACAUAAUCGUGUUUGUUAUGGCUGAACGAUUGAGACAUAUGCUUCCAAGAUGCAAAAUGGGAUGCUCGUGUUUUAUGCAGGGCACAUUUGAUGGAGUCUUCAUCAAAAUGAAAAAAGAGGCGUCUGUGUUUUGGAAUGUGGUAUGUUCACUGUAUUUAUAUCCACCGGCCCCAUGAGCCCACUGUGUGUUAUCAACCCUGGAACUACCAAAUGAGAAAUAGCUCCUCCUAUCACUGUGAAAAUGAA